rnacentral:lncRNA from 1 species
GGGUGAAAUAAAUCCUAAGGGGUACUAGGCUAAAAUUCAAAGAGAUAAAAGAGACUUGAAAGAAACUGCGGGAGUUGAAUUUACAAAAUAUUUCAUUCACUUGAACAACUCUAUAGCAAUUGUUUUCUUUUCUCCUUCCUCUUUUUUUUUGAAGGAGUAUGUAUUGACAUGUAUUGAAAUAUUACAAACAUAAUUCUUUUUUUUUUCUUCCUCUUAUCCUUCUAUUUUUUCUUCCUCUUAUCCUUCUAUUUUUUUCAUUCCUUUUUUUUCUUUUCUAUUUUCUUUUUCUAUUAUGUUUUCUUUUUUUGCCAACUUCUGAAACAUUACAAAUAUAGUUAUUCAACCUCACACAACUCCAAACAAGACUCUUUUAAC